UGUUAGCGGCGGACGGGUGAGUAACACGUGGAUAACCUACCUAUAAGACUGGGAUAACUUCGGGAAACCGGAGCUAAUACCGGAUAAUAUUUUGAACCGCAUGGUUCAAAAGUAAAAGACGGUCUUGCUGUCACUUAUAGAUGGAUCCGCGCUGCAUUAGCUAGUUGGUAAGGUAACGGCUUACCAAGGCAACGAUGCAUAGCCGACCUGAGAGGGUGAUCGGCCACACUGGAACUGAGACACGGUCCAGACUCCUACGGGAGGCAGCAGUAGGGAAUCUUCCGCAAUGGGCGAAAGCCUGACGGAGCAACGCCGCGUGAGUGAUGAAGGUCUUCGGAUCGUAAAACUCUGUUAUUAGGGAAGAACAUAUGUGUAAGUAACUGUGCACAUCUUGACGGUACCUAAUCAGAAAGCCACGGCUAACUACGUGCCAGCAGCCGCGGUAAUACGUAGGUGGCAAGCGUUAUCCGGAAUUAUUGGGCGUAAAGCGCGCGUAGGCGGUUUUUUAAGUCUGAUGUGAAAGCCCACGGCUCAACCGUGGAGGGUCAUUGGAAACUGGAAAACUUGAGUGCAGAAGAGGACACAGUGGAAUUCCAUGUGUAGCGGUGAAAUGCGCAGAGAUAUGGAGGAACACCAGUGGCGAAGGCGACUUUCUGGUCUGUAACUGACGCUGAUGUGCGAAAGCGUGGGGAUCAAACAGGAUUAGAUACCCUGGUAGUCCACGCCGUAAACGAUGAGUGCUCAAGUGUUAGGGGGUUUCCGCCCCUUAGUGCUGCAGCUAACGCAUUAAGCACUCCGCCUGG
rnacentral:rRNA from 1 species